rnacentral:rRNA from 1 species
UACGUAGGGAGCAAGCGUUGUUCGGAGUUACUGGGCGUAAAGGGUGUGUAGGCGGGUCUUUAAGUUUGGUGUGAAAUCUCCCGGCUCAACUGGGAGGGUGCGCCGAAUACUGAGGGACUAGAGUACGGGAGAGGAAAGUGGAAUUCCUGGUGUAGCGGUGAAAUGCGUAGAUAUCAGGAGGAACACCGGUGGUGUAGACGGCUUUCUGGACCGUAACUGACGCUGAGACACGAAAGCGUGGGUAGCAAACAGG